rnacentral:misc_RNA from 1 species
GAUAUGGCUCCUAGUCCAAGGUAAUUACUAAAGUAUAGAUCUCAUACGUGUUGGCUUGAAAUUUCUAACAUUUUCUUUUAGACAAAAAUUGUUACAUUAAUGUAUUAAGCUGCACCUAUAAUUUGUUUCUGAAGCUUUCUUGGAGAUGUAUAAUUGUCAUUACAAAAUACUAUAAAAAUACUUUGUUUUCCAAGUACUAGCAUGGGAUAGGGACAUAACUGUAUUUGCUCUGCCACCAGGCUGCAAAGUGGGAAGCACCCAUUUGUCAAAU